GGUGGCUCAGGGGUAGAGCGCUUGCCUUGCAUGCAUGAGGUCCUGGGUUCGAUUCCUUAGCACCA
rnacentral:tRNA from 1 species